rnacentral:rRNA from 1 species
UGGGGAAUAUUGGACAAUGGGGGCAACCCUGAUCCAGCAAUUCUGUGUGCACGAAGAAGGUUUUCGGAUUGUAAAGUGCUUUCAGCAGGGAAGAAAAAAAUGACGGUACCUGCAGAAGAAGCGACGGCUAAAUACGUGCCAGCAGCCGCGGUAAUACGUAUGUCGCAAGCGUUAUCCGGAAUUAUUGGGCAUAAAGGGCAUCUAGGCGGCCAGAUAAGNNNGNUGAAAANCUGGCCACCAACGGCGNNAUUGGGNCNNUGGGAGNGGAAGUGACGAAUGANAUAAGUGAUUCUAAUUCAGUGAAUUCUAAUUGUGCAGGAUGCCGAGAUGAAANNANNAAAAUGNNNGGGGGUAUAUGCCGCCCCCNAUGCGAAAGCUAGGGGAGCAAACAGGAUUAGAUACCCUGGUAGUCCUAGCUGUAAACGAUGAUUACUGGGUGUGGGCAUGAAGAGUGUCCGUGCCGAAGCUAAUGCGAUAAGUAAUCCGCCUGGGGAGUACGGCCGCAAGGCUG